rnacentral:rRNA from 1 species
UACGAAGGGGGGCUAGCGUUGUUCGGAAUUACUGGGCGUAAAGGGCGCGUAGGCGGUGUGUCAAGUCAGGCGUGAAAGCCCCCGGGCUCAACCUGGGAACCGCGCUUGAGACUGGCACGCUAGAGUUCGGGAGAGGAUGGUGGAAUUCCCAGUGUAGAGGUGAAAUUCGUAGAUAUUGGGAAGAACACCGAUGGCGAAGGCAGCCAUCUGGACCGACACUGACGCUGAGGCGCGAAAGCGUGGGGAGCGAACAGG